GCCAAAACAUUCUUCAUUAAAAGUGUGUUUACGUAUGAAACUACAACUAAGCAAACUAACAAAAUGAGUAAAAAGUUAUUUUUAAUAUUAUAUUUUUUAUUUUUUGAUGUGCAUUGUGAUAUCGUUCAACGACAGAAUAAAUUUUUAAUUGAAGAUUGCCUAAAGUCAACUGCAACAAGUUUAUGGCGUUGUGCACAAAUUAAAAUUGUUUACAGAUGGGACGUUAAACAAGGAAAGUGUCGUGAAGACUUUUAUAGUGGAUGUGAACCAUCAAGAAACAAUUUUGAAAGUUUAAACAUGUGCAACAAAAUUGCAAAACCAGUGUGUAUAAAUUAUAAACCGAGUUAACAACGCAAACUUGUUAAAAAUAAUUAAUAUUCAGGUAUUUUGUUAUUGUUAUAGAAUUAAAAAUUAUGUAGUUAUUUACCCAUCAAUCAAUUAUGAAAUGGUAAGGCAUUUUUAUUUACUGAGUAUUGUAAAUAAUGUACUUAUAAAACAUUACAAACUGAUUGUCGUCA